rnacentral:rRNA from 1 species
UACGUAGGGGGCUAGCGUUGUCCGGAUUUAUUGGGCGUAAAGAGCGUGUAGGCGGCCAGGUAGGUCUGCUGUGAAAACUCGAGGCUCAACCUCGAGACGUCGGCGGAAACCAUCUGGCUAGAGUCCGGAAGAGGAGAGUGGAAUUCCUGGUGUAGCGGCGAAAUGCGCAGAUAUCAGGAGGAACACCGAUGGCGAAGGCAGGUCUCUGGGCCGAUACUGACGCUGAGGAGCGAAAGCGUGGGGAGCGAACAGG